GAUGAACGCUGGCGGCGUGCCUAAUACAUGCAAGUCGAGCGAAUGGAUUAAGAGCUUGCUCUUAUGAAGUUAGCGGCGGACGGGUGAGUAACACGUGGGUAACCUGCCCAUAAGACUGGGAUAACUCCGGGAAACCGGGGCUAAUACCGGAUAACAUUUUGAACCGCAUGGUUCGAAAUUGAAAGGCGGCUUCGGCUGUCACUUAUGGAUGGACCCGCGUCGCAUUAGCUAGUUGGUGAGGUAACGGCUCACCAAGGCAACGAUGAGUAGCCGAGCUGAGAGGGUGAUCGGCCACACUGGGACUGAGACACGGCCCAGACUCCUACGGGAGGCAGCAGUAGGGAAUCUUCCGCAAUGGACGAAAGUCUGACGGAGCAACGCCGCGUGAGUGAUGAAGGCUUUCGGGUCGUAAAACUCUGUUGUUAGGGAAGAACAAGUGCUAGUUGAAUAAGCUGACACCUUGACGGUACCUAACCAGAAAGCCACGGCUAACUACGUGCCAGCCGCCGCCGUAA
rnacentral:rRNA from 1 species